rnacentral:rRNA from 1 species
UGCUACCAGGCGUCGAGCGGCGGACGGGUGAGUAAUACUUAGGAAUCUACCUAGUAGUGGGGGAUAGCACGGGGAAACUCGUAUUAAUACCGCAUACGACCUACGGGAGAAAGGGGGCAGUUUACUGCUCUCGCUAUUAGAUGAGCCUAAGUCGGAUUAGCUAGAUGGUGGGGUAAAGGCCUACCAUGGCGACGAUCUGUAGCUGGUCUGAGAGGAUGAUCAGCCACACCGGGACUGAGACACGGCCCGGACUCCUACGGGAGGCAGCAGUGGGGAAUAUUGGACAAUGGGGGAAACCCUGAUCCAGCCAUGCCGCGUGUGUGAAGAAGGCCUUUUGGUUGUAAAGCACUUUAAGCAGUGAAGAAGACUCCUUGGUUAAUACCCGCGGACGAUGACAUUAGCUGCAGAAUAAGCACCGGCUAACUCUGUGCCAGCAGCCGCGGUAAUACAGAGGGUGCAAGCGUUAAUCGGAAUUACUGGGCGUAAAGCGAGCGUAGGUGGCUUGAUAAGUCAGAUGUGAAAUCCCCGGGCUUAACCUGGGAACUGCAUCUGAAACUGUUAGGCUAGAGUAGGUGAGAGGGAAGUAGAAUUUCAGGUGUA